UGAGGAAUAUUGUGUCAAUGGGCGAGAGCCUGAACCAGCCAAGUAGCGUGCAGGAAGACGGCCCUAUGGGUUGUAAACUGCUUUUGUAUGGGGAUAAAGUCAAUCACGUGUGAUUGUUUGCAGGUACCAUACGAAUAAGGACCGGCUAAUUCCGUGCCAGCAGCCGCGGUAAUACGGAAGGUCCGGGCGUUAUCCGGAUUUAUUGGGUUUAAAGGGAGCGUAGGCUGGAGAUUAAGUGUGUUGUGAAAUGUAGACGCUCAACGUCUGACUUGCAGCGCAUACUGGUUUCCUUGAGUACGCACAACGUUGGCGGAAUUCGUCGUGUAGCGGUGAAAUGCUUAGAUAUGACGAAGAACUCCGAUUGCGAAGGCAGCUGACGGGAGCGCAACUGACGCUGAAGCUCGAAGGUGCGGGUAUCGAACAGGAUUAGAUACCCUGGUAGUCCGCACAGUAAACGAUGGAUGCCCGCUGUUGGUACCUGGUAUCAGCGGCUAAGCGAAAGCAUUAAGCAUCCCACCUGGGGGAGUACGCCGGCNCGGU
rnacentral:rRNA from 1 species